AAGCUCUAGGCAAUUACAAGUAAAGCAGUGGAAAAUUAAGCUAGAGCAAUUAUACUAUGGCUUUAGGGUGCAAUUGAUCUAAAAUUAACUUAUAGUUGUAUGAUCAAUUUUAAUCUAUGUGUAUGGUAAGAAUGGAGUGGAAGCUAAGCAAACUCUAAACAAUCACUUAUAACUCUAUAGAAAACAAAGCUAGAGAUAUUACACAAUCAAGCAUGAAUGUAAGGCAUGAAAUACAAGAGAUAAGGCAUCACAAACACAAAGAUGUAUAGUGGUUCGGUGCACCCCAGCACCUACAUCCACUCCCCAAGACCUCUUGGAAAUUUCACUAUAAUUCCUCAGAUUACAGUCGGUUGUUUUACAAGCUCACA
rnacentral:lncRNA from 1 species